GUGGGUCUUUAUCCCCCGGCUCAUCCCGAUAUUCCCUUUUUUCCUCCUCGCAGGGCUGCGGGCGGCCGUGACCCUGGUGGAGUCCGGGGGCACCUCAAGGCCCCGGGGGAGUCCCUGCGGCUCCUCUGCCGCGCCUCCGGCUUCACCUUCGGCGACCACCCCAUGGAGUGGGUGCGCCAGAGCCCCGGGAAGGGGCUGGAAUGGGUCGCUGGGACCAACGAAGGUGGCACUUACGCCAGCUACGCGCCGUCGGUGCGGGGCCGGUUCAGCAUCCCCAGGGACAACGGGCAGAGCUCG